UGGACGCGCAUCUCUCUUUUCGGGUCUCGGUUGCGCGCUUACGUUUCGUGAAUAUCGAGCGCAUGUACAAUCAAAACGCGAUUCGAAUCGAUUGUGAGCGAUCCUGCGCCGCGAAUUGUGAUUGCACAACGCGAAUGAUCGGAAAUUCAGUGAUUAUCUGUGGUAUAAAAAAUCGGCCAAUUCUGCAGUCAUCAGUGGGGUUUGAAGCGCAAGUCUACGAUUUUGAUUGGAUGCAGCUGACUGAUCGGAACAGCGAGGAGAACGAAAUUCCAAGAUAUUGG